ACAUAUUAUAAAUGUUGAGUUCUCACGCAGUAUCAACAACUGUCCAUAAAGGAACUUCCUAUUUCAUCAUUGCUUUGCCAAAACAUCUGCAAAAGCAUUAGCUUCCCUGUACACAUGAUUUAAUUAUGUACGCACAACAGUUUACUUCCUUGCACAAGAUAUCAUUCAAAUUUAGCAUGUGUUUUAGGGUGCCCACUAUGGUGGACAAUUAUUUUUCUGGUCCACCGAUGCACCAUGAUUGUACACUGUUAGAUCUGAAAUUUUUGAAAUAUUCUUUAAUUUAAUGGUUGGGAUUGAAUUAUGACAAAAAGGAUAAAAUUGUAAAUUAGACAACCCCUCCUCUCCUUUUUUUCAUCUGGUUCACUAUUUUCUUUUCCCUGCUUCUGGUGCUUCUCCGCCGUCGGCCAUGCCACCGCCGGCCACCUCACCGUCGUCACCCCUUGACCCCUCAGCUAGCAGCAUUACGGCGCGUUCCAGUUCUGCCAUGGAGUGCGAUGGAGGAAGGUUGAAGCUUUUAUGGGUUUUUAAUCGAAGCUUGAGUUCCAGAAACCAUAGCCCUUCUUCCUCUCUUGAGCAUGGCAGAUUUUGGUGAUCAAUUUUCGGUGAUUGCAGAUCUAGAUUUGUUGGGUAUUUCAAGUUCAAACAGUGGUCUUAAAAAAUCUGGUUUUUCCCCUUCUAUAAAUCUGAAGCUCCUCAUCAUAGCUGGAGCUGUCAUUGUGAUGAGGGAGGAAAGAAAGAUGGAAGCUUUCUUGUGUCUUCAACAAAAAAUCUAAAGGAAAAUCACAAGAGAAAGAAGAGAGUGGAAGGGUCGUGAAGCAUUUUUGUAGCUUCCCUUUCUCACAAGGUGUUUCUAGAAUUGGACAAAUGUCAAAUAGAUAUAUACACAAACACCAUUGGAUAUUUUUCAGAGCAUUGGUCAAGCUUGUACGUAUUGAAAAUCUGAUGUUAGCUAGUGGAUUGUCACAAGGGUGAAGGAGAGAGGAAGGAGACGAAGUUGAAGAUUCAGACUGGGCUGGAAGAGAGUGGGAGAAAGAAGGUGAGAAAAUGACAAAGUCCAAAAUAUCUCUUAUGCAAUGUUUGUAAUACCCUUGGUGCACCGGUGGACCAAAAUAAUAAAGGUCCACCUAGUGGGCACCGUGUUUUAGUUUCCAAUGUCUAUUAAUUAUAAUUCUUAUUGCAA